UCGUGGACUGAUUUGUCUGGUUGAUUCCGUUAACGAGCGAGAUCUUAUCCUGUUAAAUAGGUCGCCGAAGCACGCUUCGGUAGCGCCUUCUUAGAGGGACAUUGCGUGCUUAACGCAAGGAAGUUUGAGGCAAUAACA
rnacentral:rRNA from 1 species